GACGAACGCUGGCGGCGUGCCUAAUACAUGCAAGUAGAACGCUGAAGGAGGAGCUUGCUUCUCUGGAUGAGUUGCGAACGGGUGAGUAACGCGUAGGUAACCUGCCUGGUAGCGGGGGAUAACUAUUGGAAACGAUAGCUAAUACCGCAUAAGAGUAGAUGUUGCAUGACAUUUGCUGAAAAGGUGCAAUUGCAUCACUACCAGAUGGACCUGCGUUGUAUUAGCUAGUUGGUGGGGUAACGGCUUACCAAGGCGACGAUACAUAGCCGACCUGAGAGGGUGAUCGGCCACACUGGGACUGAGACACGGCCCAGACUCCUACGGGAGGCAGCAGUAGGGAAUCUUCGGCAAUGGACGGAAGUCUGACCGAGCAACGCCGCGGGAGUGAAGAAGGUUUUCGGAUCGUAAAGCUCUGUUGUAAGAGAAGAACGAGUGUGAGAGUGGAAAGUUCACACUGUGACGGUAUCUUACCAGAAAGGGACGGCUAACUACGUG
rnacentral:rRNA from 1 species